UUGUCCGGAAUUAUUGGGCGUAAAGGGCUCGUAGGCGGGCCAUCGCGUCGGGAGUGAAAAGCUGGGGCUCAACCCCAGUCCUGCUUCCGAUACGGGUGGACUAGAGGUAUGCAGGGGAGAACGGAAUUCCUGGUGUAGCGGUGAAAUGCGCAGAUAUCAGGAGGAACACCGGUGGCGAAGGCGGUUCUCUGGGCAUUACCUGACGCUGAGGAGCGAAAGCGUGGGGAGCAAACAGG
rnacentral:rRNA from 1 species